rnacentral:rRNA from 1 species
UGAAUACGAGACGCUAAGGCGUCGAAGUAGUGUAUGUCAUACUUCCAAGAAAAGCUUGCACUGUCAUAGAUAAAAAACGCCUGUACCAUAACCGACGCAGGUGGGUAGGUAGAGUAUACUAAGGGGCGCGAGAUAACUCUCUCUAAGGAACUCGGCAAAAUAACUCCGUAACUUCGGGAGAAGGAGUGCCUUAUUCUUAAGGUUGCAAUAACAAGAUCCAAGCAACUGUUUAUCAAAAACACAGGUCUCCGCUAAGUCGUAAGACGAUGUAUGGGGGCUGACGCCUGCCCAGUGCCAGAAGGUUAAAGAAGCUGGUUAGCAUAUGCGAAGCUAGUAACUGAAGCCCUGGUGAACGGCGGCCGUAACUAUAACGGUCCUAAGGUAGCGAAAUUCCUUGUCGGGUAAGUUCCGACCCGCACGAAAGGCGUAAUGAUUUGGAUACUGUCUCGGAGAGGGGCUCGGUGAAAUAGACUUGUCUGUGAAGAUGCGGACUACCUGCACCAGGACAGAAAGACCCUAUGAAGCUUUACUGUAACUUGAAAUUGAAAUUGGACUUUAUUCGCGCAGUAUAGGUGGGAGGCGUUGAUUAUAAUCUUGCGGGAUUAUUGGAGCCAUUAGUGAGAUACCACUCUUGUAAUGUUAGAUUUCUAACUUUGAAUCAUUAUCUGGUCAAAGAACAGUUUCAGGCGGGCAGUUUGACUGGGGCGGUCGCCUCCCAAACGGUAACGGAGGCGUACAAAGGUUUCCUCUGAACGGUUAGAAAUCGUAUCUAGAGUGUAAAGGCAUAAGGAAGCUUGACUGUGAGACCUACAAGUCGAGCAGGGACGAAAGUCGGUCUUAGUGAUCUGACGGUACUGAGUGGAAAGGCCGUCACUCAACGGAUAAAAGUUACUCUAGGAUAACAGGCUGAUCUCCCCCAAGAGUUCACAUCGACGGGGAGGUUUGGCACCUCGAUGUCGGCUCAUCGCAUCCUGGGGCGGUAGUACGUCCCAAGGGUUGGGCUGUUCGCCCAUGAAAGCGGUACGCGAGCUGGGUUCAGAACGUCGUGAGACAGUUCGGUCCAUAUCCGGUGUAGGCGUUAGAAUAUUGAGAGGAGCCUUCUUUAGUACGAGAGGACCGAGAAGGACAUACCUCUGGUGUACCAGUUAUCGUGCCAACGGUAGACGCUGGGUAGCUAUGUAUGGAGUGGAUAACCGCUGAAAGCAUCUAAGUGGGAAGCCCACCUCAAGAUAAG